rnacentral:rRNA from 1 species
GACGAACGCUGGCGGCGUGCCUAAUACCUGCAAGUCGAGCGAGCGGCGGACGGGUGAGUAAUGUCUGGGAAACUGCCUGAUGGAGGGGGAUAACUUCUGGAAACGGUCGCUAAUACCGCAUACCAUCAGAUGUGCCCCUAUGGGAUUAGCUAGUAGGUGGGGUAACGGCGCACCUAGGCGACGAUCCCUAGCUGGUCGGAGUGGAUGACCAGCCACACUGUAACUGAUACCCGCUCCAGACUCCUACGGGAGGCAGCAGUGGGGAAGAUUGCACUAUGGGCGCAAGCCUGAUGCAGCCAUGCCGGGUGUAUGAAGAAGGCCUUCGGGUGGUAAAGUACUUUCAGCGGGGAGGCGUUACCCGCAGAAUAGGCACCGGCUAACUCCGUGCCAGCGGCCGCGGUAAUAC